CGUAUAUGCGCACUGAAUAACAGUGAAGUAUUAUAGGUCCAGAGCGAACCACUGGAAGAUAUGUUAGGGUCGGUCAUCCGUUGCUCUUCUCUCUAGCUAAUCUCCGUGUCGCUUUGUAGCGCAGGCAGGUCUCGUCACACUCUGCGCUUGUGCGUUCUACGAUGGCUUCCCUCGCCCUCAGCCAACAAGAAACAAUCGAUUUCUCGCAUCCUCUAGCUAUCAGCACAUGUCAAGUAAUCUCCGACUGUCCAAUCGGGAAACCACCAUUGAAAAGUUCAAGUGUGUGGGGCUCAAUCUGUACACCCGGAUAUCUAGUGGCGUUUAUGGAAUAGAAGACGAAAAGAAAACAACUAAAUUUCGGCUGGUGAUGUGAAAACAGUGCGAUAGAGGUGGUUAAAUAGGCCAUGUAUUCGAGCGCCGAGCGAGCACAUCUGCUUAAGAAAGAUCUCAAGCAGAGUAGUACUUUACGCGUGCUGCUACUUUGCCUCGGCCUAAUCGUUGUUACGAUGGGUUCUGUUACGUUAUCUAUGGGAGCGAUGCUCGGGCCUCCGCUACUCGUUGGACCUGGGCUCUGCCUUACGCUGGGGGGGAUGCUGUGUCUCGGGACGAGCAUUUACUUUGGAUUAAAACAGCACCAUAUCAAUAAACAGGAAAAGUCAGCUUCAUCCGCUCAAUCUGUUUCAUCGCGAAAGGUGAGUGUAGUAAUCCGGCCGAGUCUACCAAGCGUCGUAGAACUUUCAGAUGAGAGUUUCGGGUCGACAGUCUCUAUCAGCGAGAACAGCUGUGACGAUGAUAGCGCAUUUGUGGCAAGAAAUGAACGUCCGCCGAAAUGACUGAACCAAAUGAUUGGAUAUGGAUACGUCCCAUGUAGUGCAAGGUCUAGGUGUACAUGCAUGAAACAGAUCCGCUACGAUGUACAAUACAGUAUACCACCACAGAUUCUACAAAAGAACAACUAAUUAGACGAAUGUUUUAGAAAGUCAUAGAUUCAAAACCGAAAGUCGUACUAACUUUUUGUAACACGUUGACAUGUACGCAUGCACAGCGUGCAGAUGUACGAUAGACCCAUUUUAGUAAAAUUAAUCGCGUUGGUGCUUCCGCGAUGGCAAUUGGUAAUAGUAGAUAUGAGUCGUGUUGUUGUUGUUUAUGCUACCAACAGCAACCUUGGUAGAUAUUUGAUUUUUAUAAAGUUCGAUUAUCUUGCUCAAAGUAAGUUGACCUCAGUUUGUAGCAGAGAGAGGGGGGAGGGGAGAGAGAGAGAGAGAGAGAGAGAGAGAGAGAGAGAGGAGACUGUACUUGCAAGUCGUACAAUGUUCAGCUGCUUCUUUUAAACUCUGUACUUAGGGGGUCGAACGCUAUCGGUCAGAGACUAUAAACAGGCUUUUAUUGCUACUUUAGUCAGAUAUUUAUUUGUCUACCAGUUUGUUAUAUGAUCUACUUAUUUAGCUACUGGCAUUACCAAGAUAUUCAAUUUUGUUUAGACUUGAAGCUACUCUUGGAGUUAAUACGAAUGUAUGUACGCAAAAUUAGUAGAUCAAGUGCGGCGCUCUCUUAUUAUGGAUACUUCCGUAAACUUUGAAACACCUAAAACUAGUAUUUCCAAUACGUUGUCGAAAAUAUCUCAGUUGCCCUAUCUAACUUGAAAGUUUAGUUAUCAAACCCAGCUGCUCUCAAGGUGUGUGUGUUUCCGAAAUUCACUAGUGUCCUUUAAUAACUGUACGAUUUGAUGCUCUUCAAUUAUGUUUCAUAACCGGAUCUAUUUUCCAUGAUUUUUAUGUUAUUAGCUUGUUUACUUACUAUGGUAUAGCUGCUGCACGAGAAAACAUCGAUAUCGUUCGCUAGACAUCUCUACAGUUAACAAAGUAAGUUUUCUAGGUAUUUAGAUAAGACUUUAUUGGAAAUUUUUUAUCACCUGAAAGGUGAAUAAAAGCAGGCAGAAUAUCGAAUCAUUUUCUUAUCUCUAGAACGUAUGCAUGAACUUCAAGCGAUUUGCAAGUCAGAUCCAGACCAUCAUUAAAAGAUAUGUAACUAUUCCUUGUUCUGCAAAUGCGUAUAGGACUUAAGUCGAGUCAACCAAUAGUAGAUAUGAUUCCUCUUAAUCUUCUAACAGCUAUAAUUUCGUGUUUCAUUUGUAGACAAGAAGUAGCAACCCCAAGACGAUUUUGGGGCAUUGUCCACUCUGAUAGAGAUAUCACUCUCGAGCUAGUCGUUAUUUGGUCUCCUAUAUGUGUUACCUGCACAUAUGUUCGCAAUGAAAUAGCACCGACGUUCAUAGGUCAGGCCGUUGACUUUGACCAAAACGAAUUUUGCCAAAUACUGCAGCUAUGUAUGGUGCCCAUACGAGGACAAUUGAGCCGGCCACCGUGUUCAACUGAUUGUUCGCAGCAUAUAGCGUAGCUGUCCAGUGCAGUGCAGUGCAGAAGCAGAAAGUGACAAUAACGGGCCAAUAGAUGGUGGCGCCCAAAGUCUGCUUUCGCCGAGUGGCCGAUCAACCUGCCAGCGAUGGUACACGACGACGGGUUUUUUUUUUCCUAUGGGAACCCUUUCGCUUUUUCGUCAGCUAGCUGGCAAGUCUUAUGCUAGUACCGAGGCUAUCAGGGUGUGUCAGGAUGGCUAUAGGGAAUACGGGAACUUGCUAGACUCGCAUGCGCCAAAUAAUCGAGACGUGAGCGCACGUCGUGAAUUUUACGGGCCGAGGGGUUUCGUGCUGACGGGAUCAAGGUGGAGUCGGUCACCGGUUCCUCGGCGUGUAUAGCUAACCUUAACGAACAAACCUCAACGACAACGACGACGUCAGUCGAAGUUGCCGCUUACAGACUUCAAAACCUUCGACUGCUAGCUCCUGCUGGUGCGUAGGACAUUCAUCGUUCCUAUUAGCGCUUAACGGCUCGCCUGCAGGAUAGCAGUAGAUAAUCAUAAGUGAGAUGUUGUCGGGAUACAGUUUGGCAACGGGUACGCGAUGCGAAAGGAAAUGCGGACCGGAAUGAAUAGUUAUUAGGGAAGCACUGGAAAGGCGCGGGAAGUCAUUUGAGAAUGGCUGACAUGGGUGAAGACAGAGGAAGGCAGCAAAGCGAGGGCAUAAUACUUCCCGCUGAUAAACGCAGGCACAUGCAUACUAGAAGACUACAUUCUAACGGCGACAAUGACGAUGACAAGGAUGCAGCCGUAUCAACGACGGUGGCGGCAACAGUUGCAGGAACACUAAGGUCUUUCGAUGAUAGUCUCGAAAUGAGAAUGGAGUUCUAAGCGGGGGGUCAGAGAAACUAGUGAAAGCAUGGGGCGACGACCUAAAUAGUUGAAAUAGGCAGAUUUUCCUGAUAAGCAAGGCUCGGUUCGACUACUUCAUAAGCCCGCAAGGCCAUGCUAAAGACAGAACUGCGCUGAAAAGAUGAGGGCUCAGGAAAUAUACAAAAGGAUGCUGUGUUAGGCCGAGAAAAGGAUUUGCUUGUGAUCUGUCAGAUAUUUAGUUGCUUAGCUGAGUGGCCCGGCUCUGCUCUGUCUUCUCUGCAGCACAGUAGUUUACCUGGCUGAGUGACAUGGAGCAGCAAUGUAAGCGAUCGGCAGCGAGGCACCAUGUUGAGCGGAAGCUGCCUACUAAACCUCCGGGUCUCGGACUUCGCUAUCGCACGGCUGUACCAGGUGUGGCUUGGUGACGCAGCGUUUUCCUGCAGUCGACAGUUUUGGGAGUUCGCUAAUCAUCCCAAAGCAUAAUUUUUGUGCAAUGGAAACUGUUAUUAACCGUAAACACAUUUUGGAAAGUAAACAUUAUAGGUAAAGGCCAUUUAUAUAAAAGGAACAAGUUCUCCGUAAGUAACAGCAUGUAUUGAAGAGGUUCAGAUUUGACUCAAACGCAUCCAAGCACUGGUAGUGGCAUGGGGUUGUGCACAAUUAUCUCUCUUCAUAGGUCAUAAAAACGGUUGGGGUUAACAACCACUGACAACCAGCGUGCACGAACUCUUGUUCACAGUAUUUUUCAGUUCCGUUCAUACUAUUUACCAAUCAUUCUCAUUCAUUCAACUUCAUCCGUGAAACCUCACUCUUGCUCUCAGCGUUGCGCGUUCGAUACGCAAUUCCGACGUCGUGAAUCGUUCCAAUAGCAUCACUGAGGCCUGGGACGAAUUCAGAGGAAUUCCUAAGUGUUAAAGAACAUGAAAAUUUGAAAUGUUGGCUGCUCCUCGUGCUAGCGUGUGUUGACAUCGUGAAUUUCAUUUUCUAUGCCCCUUCUUUCAUUACGCACUAACACAGUCUUUUUUUCGGUCUCAAAAGAGCUAUCUAAGUUACGAGUUAACAUACGUUCAAAUACCUGCAGUUUAAUAUUCUUAUUUAUUAGAGAUGUUCUAAUCAUCAGAUAUUUGUCUUAAAUGUAGAUCAUAGAAAAUCUUUUUGCUAUUGACUUCGAUAUCGACAUCUACUGCGAACUAGAAUACAUCACUACAUCAAAAUAUAUAAGAGUAUCUUAAAUCACCGCACUCUAAUCUAUAUAAUGAACACAUUUAACUUGUUGAAAAUUGUGCGGUAAUAGGUAAAGUAGUUUGGAGUUAAGAUAUAGGCUGCCGUUUAUGAGACUUGAAGAAGAUUCAGUAACUUGACAGGAUUUCAGUUACCACUUGAACUUUUUAUGUCAGAUAGCACCGACAGCGCUACUCUAUUACUGACUGCGGUUUUUCUAUUUUAUACCACCUACCGCUAAGCGGAAGGUAAUAAUAUUCUUUUGAACAAUGGCGACGACAUAUUCUUACUACCAGAGAAAUAUCGUAAGCAAUCUUGGCCACAACUUUCCCAUGUGCUAUUCAAGCGUUGGUUAAAAAGCCCUGAAGAAAAAUCAAGGUACUAGGUGUUUUUAGAAAGCGGAACAUAUUUAGCAUUUCCAAGUCAAUCUUGGGAAAAAGCAUCCUCAAGAAGGCGCGAAUUGAGUGUUUCCCGAUUCGUGUUGGGAAAAAAUGGACGUAUCUCAUGGGAACGCUUUACAACAAUCUCACCUACGCCAACAACUUCAGCCGCUUUCAGGGAAAUAGGCCUAUCAGGCCUCUAUGUUUCGAGUUUUACGUCCGGUAUCGUCGUUAAAGACUCCAUCAGACACUUAGUUUCCCGCAUUAAACGAGGUCAGCCUGUCGAUGCCCAGCUUUGAACCAAGACCACAACGUGUCCUUAAGAUUAGUAGGCAAAUACGUUACCCACUAAGCUAUCACGGGGAUCUGUCAAGUCUGGUACCCUUGAAUUCACUGUGAAUUUAUCGUUUAAUUUAUUGUUAUCAUUCAAAUGUGGCUUGAUGCUUUUCUCUUUAAAAUUGUAAAGGAUAUGCCAGGCCGCAAUUGCGAAGGGAUUUGGAGUGUGAGAUAGGCGAGGACAAAAUUAUAAAUUAAAAUUUCUCAGGAGCAACGGCCAAACGUAGAAAACCAUAUUUGAAGUAUGGAUAACACCGCGAACCUCUAAAAUUGAUACCACAAUCGAAUUAACGUGUCGUUGCAAUGGACGAAUGAAGAGCAAAUCCAGAAGCCAAUACACAUGGUUCAUCUAUAUAUGCACACGCUUUUAUACCUGAAGUAAGUGAAUUUCAAGGGCAUACUGGAUUGUUGGGUAAGAUAGCAUAUGUAACUUGGUGGCAUAUAUAUCUGGAUGUAUUUAUAAAUUUCACGCCCGACUAUAACAAAAACACAUAUGUUUAUUAAAUAAUUUACCUGUCUCUUUGCGUGCAUAUAUAUCCAGAAAUUAGAAAUAUAUUUUAUGGGAGUCUUCAGUGGUAAGUCUAUUCCAGUCUUUUCGGCCCAAUAUAAGACGAUUUGACAAUAAUCUUCUCAUAGAAAAUAUUUGAUACGACUCGAGUGAUGUUGCGGUCAAAAGGUAGCGAUUGCUUCCAUUAAAUUUGAAAGCUGCGUCAUAAUCAUGAAAGCGCACUGUCUU